rnacentral:rRNA from 1 species
AAUCUUCCACAAUGGACGAAAGUCUGAUGGAGCAACGCCGCGUGAGUGAAGAAGGAUUUCGGUUCGUAAAACUCGGUUGCAAGGGAAGAACAAGUAGCGUAGUAACUGGAGCUACCUUGACGGUAACUUGUUAGAAAGCCACGGCUAACUACGUGCACGCAGCCGCGGUAAUACGUAGGUGGCAAGCGUGGUCCGGAAUUAUUGGGCGUAAAGCGCGCGCAGGUGGUUUCUUAAGUCUGAUGUGAAAGCCCACGGCUCAAACGUGGAGGGUCAUUGGAAACUGGGAGACUUGAGUGCAGAAGAGGGUAGUGGAAUUCCAAGUGUAGCGGUGAAAUGCGUAGAGAUUUGGAGGAACACCAGUGGCGAAGGCGACUGUCUGGUCUGUAACUGACACUGAGGCGCGAAAGCGUGGGGAGCAAAC